CCUAUACAUGCAAGUCGAGCGGACAGAUGGGAGCUUGCUCCCUGAUGUUAGCGGCGGACGGGUGAGUAACACGUGGGUAACCUGCCUGUAAGACUGGGAUAACUCCGGGAAACCGGGGCUAAUACCGGAUGCUUGAUUGAACCGCAUGGUUCAAUUAUAAAAGGUGGCUUUUAGCUACCACUUACAGAUGGACCCGCGGCGCAUUAGCUAGUUGGUGAGGUAACGGCUCACCAAGGCAACGAUGCGUAGCCGACCUGAGAGGGUGAUCGGCCACACUGGGACUGAGACACGGCCCAGACUCCUACGGGAGGCAGCAGUAGGGAAUCUUCCGCAAUGGACGAAAGUCUGACGGAGCAACGCCGCGUGAGUGAUGAAGGUUUUCGGAUCGUAAAACUCUGUUGUUAGGGAAGAACAAGUACCGUUCGAAUAGGGCGGUACCUUGACGGUACCUAACCAGAAAGCCACGGCUAACUACGUGCCAGCAGCCGCGGUAAUACGUAGGUGGCAAGCGUUGUCCGGAAUUAUUGGGCGUAAAGCGCGCGCAGGCGGUUUCUUAAGUCUGAUGUGAAAGCCCCCGGCUCAACCGGGGAGGGUCAUUGGAAACUGGGGAACUUGAGUGCAGAAGAGGAGAGUGGAAUUCCACGUGUAGCGGUGAAAUGCGUAGAGAUGUGGAGGAACACCAGUGGCGAAGGCGACUCUCUGGUCUGUAACUGACGCUGAAGGCCCGAAAGCGUGGGGGAGCGAACAGGAUUAAAUACCCUGGUAGUCCACGCCGUAAACGAUGAGUGCUAAGUGUUAAAGGGUUUCCGCCCCUUUAGUGCUGCAGCAAACGCAUUAAGCCACUCCGCCCGGGGGAGUACGGUCCGCAAGACUGAAAACUCAAAGGAAUUGAACGGGGGCCCGCCACAAGCGGUGGAACCAUGUUGUUUUAAUUCCAAGCCACCCCGAAGAAACUUUACAAGGUCUUGGACUUCCUCUGAACACCCUAAAAAAUAAGGGCUUCCCCUUCCGGGGGCAAAAUGGACAAGUUGAUGCAAUGAAUUGUCCGUCAGCUCCGGUCCUUAGAAAUGUUUAGGGUCAAGUCCCGCCACCCAAUCCCAAACCCUUGAACCUUAGUUGGCCAAGAAUUCCAAUUGGGCCACCUUGAAGGGUAACUUGCCGGGUUCACAAUCCCGGGAGGAAGGUGGGGGGGUAGGCCCUGGGAAUUCCAAUUGGCC
rnacentral:rRNA from 1 species